CAUGUGCCUGUGAUGGUUUUAAAUAUACUUUGAGGGUUAUACCUAUGAAAAGAAUUUUAAUCUGAGGCGUACU
rnacentral:snoRNA from 1 species